GUCUGAGACCAUGUCCUGUUGCCCUCUGAUCAAGAUGUAGCACCGUGUCUGCCUGCAUACCUCCGUGCUCUCUGCCAUGAUGAGAAUGGACAAAACCUCUGAACUGCAGAUCACACCAUGAAGAUAAGAUCCUGAAAAGAAGUGGACAAGGGGGAGAAGAGCUUGGUAUCUGUGACUCAAAAAUAAGAACGUGGCUUCCCCACUGCUAACUGCAGGAAUAAAGCCAGGAGUAUCUCUGCAGACAUGACCCGUCUACACUCCCAAGACAGCAUGAGCAGGCCCUGGCCAUGAUGCCUUGCAUUAUUUCAGAAGAGUUGGCUCACUCGACUGAGCUUCAGGCCCUCUGGUCUAUGUGUCUCAACAUCCUUGCCUCAAAAGACAGUGGCUGGUGGCUGGUACAGGAUGUAUGCUCAGAGAAUACACAGGGACAUGUGAUCAUUUAAUUCAUUUUCAA